rnacentral:rRNA from 1 species
GAUCCUGGCUCAGGACGAACGCUGGCGGCGUGCCUAACACAUGCAAGUCGAACGGAGAAUUUUAUUUCGGUAGAAUUCUUAGUGGCGAACGGGUGAGUAACGCGUAGGCAACCUGCCCUUUAGACGGGGACAACAUUCCGAAAGGAGUGCUAAUACCGGAUGUGAUCAUCGUGCCGCAUGGCAGGAUGAAGAAAGAUGGCCUCUACAAGUAAGCUAUCGCUAAAGGAUGGGCCUGCGUCCGAUUAG